rnacentral:rRNA from 1 species
AGAGUUUGAUCAUGGCUCAGGAUGAACGCUGGCGGCGUGCCUAAUACAUGCAAGUCGAACGAGGUGCUUUUGUAGCAAUACGAGAGUAUCCUAGUGGCGAACGGGUGAGUAACGCGUUGGUGACCUACCCCAAAGUGCGGGAUAACAGUCCGAAAGGAUUGCUAAUACCGCAUGUGGUUAUUGGAUUUAGAAACUAAUAACUAAAGGAGCAAUUCGCUUUGGGAGGGACCUGCGUCCCAUCAGCUAGUUGGUGAGGUAACGGCCCACCAAGGCUACGACGGGUAGGGGACCUGAGAGGGUGGCCCCCCACAAUGGAACUGAAACACGGUCCAUACACCUACGGGUGGCAGCAGUAGGGAAUAUUGGGCAAUGGGCGAAAGCCUGACCCAGCAACGCCGCGUGUGUGAUGAAGGCCUUCGGGUCGUAAAGCACUUUUCUGGGAGAUGAGAAAGGACAGUAUCCCAGGAAUAAGUCUCGGCUAACUACGUGCCAGCAGCCGCGGUAAUUC